UCUGUGAUCUCACAGCCUUCUGUGACCUCAUGGCCAGGGUGGAAUUGCUUUUGGAGCUGGAUCUGACUUCUUCGGAAGGGAGCUCAUCCUGCCCAGCUGCUCUGCCCAAGGGCUGUGACACAGUCCCAGCUCAGCUGAUCUCACAGGUUGAGGCAUGAAGGGAUGCAGAGCAGACCUGCCGAGAAAGACUUGGUGUUGCAGCCAGAUGAGAGGCUGGACGUGAGGCAGCCAUGUGCAUCCAAAGGAGAGUGCCCAGCAGGUUGAAGGAGGUGAUUCCCCACCUCCGCUCAGGCAGGUAUCCAUGCAGUGAGCCACAAAUCAGGACCGUGGUGUGAACCUUGAAGCAAUAUGCACCUGGCACCACAACACGUCUUCCCCAUUCCCAGAAGAGCCUCAGAAUGGGUUGCUGUUGAGGAACCCUCUGUUUGCAUGUGAUAAGGGCAAGUUUGGCUAUCUGUUUCUGCCAGGAAAUAAUUUGGAAGUGCUCAACUGAACCUUGAAUCAGAGCUUCCCCACUGCAGUUCAGGUCUUUGAUUGUAAUUCAGUCCUAGCAGUCAGUUUUAUACCCCUCCCCUUAUUUUCUAUUGUUAUAGCAUAUUUUAUUACCAAUGGGUUGCUCCGUUCCCCCCUGUGAUGUUGGUUUUGCCCCACUUGUCCAUCUCUCCAAAGACCUGCCCUUUUGUUCACUGUUCCUCCUCUCAUUGCAUGUCAGUCCCUCUCCAAGCCUGCCCCUUGCUCUUGAAAUUUCCCUAUCAGUUUUGUAUCCUUCAGAACCCCAUUGGUUUGUUUAAGUUCUUCCCCUCCCCUGUAAUCCCCAAUUGGUUUAAACCUUGUAUUCCCCGCCUGGUGUUCCACCCUCAGUCUCUCCCAAUUGGCUAAAGAUUGUAUCCUGCCCUGGGACCCUGCCAAGUCUGUAAGUUGGUGUAUGCCUUUAAUGCAGUGUUGGUCUGGCCCUGGUCGUCUGUAGAGUAAUCACCUUCGGAAAACAUAGAGCAGACCUCACCCCGUUCCUUGUCCCUACCCUCAGGGCAGUCC